CGGGGCGUAGCGCAGUCUGGUAGCGCACUUGACUGGGGGUCAAGUGGUCGCAGGUUCAAAUCCUGCCGUCCCGACCA
rnacentral:tRNA from 2 species